AGUGAACGCUGGCGGCGUGCUUAAGACAUGCAGGUCGAACGGCAGUCUUCGGACUGUAGUGGCGCACGGGUGAGUAACGCGUAACUGACCUACCCCAAAGUCGCGGAUAACGAUUCGAAAGAAUCGCUAAUACGUGAUGUGCUGUCAGAUUGUGUUCUGCCAGUAAAGAUUGAUUGCUUUGGGAUGGGGUUGCGUUCCAUCAGCUAGAUGGUGGGGUAAAGGCCCACCAAGGCGACGACGGAUAGCCGGCCUGAGAGGGUGGCCGGCCACAGGGGCACUGAGACACGGGUCCCACUCCUACGGGAGGCAGCAGUUAGGAAUCUGCCACAAUGGGCGAAAGCCUGAGGGAGCGACGCCGCGUGAGGGAUGAAGGUCUUCGGAUCGUAAACCUCUGAAUCAGGGACGAAAGACACUUCGGUGGGAUGACGGUACCUGAGUAAUAGCACCGGCUAACUCCGUGCCAGCCGCCGCCGUAACAC
rnacentral:rRNA from 1 species